ACAAAGUGCCACACCUGUUCCUUUUAUGAGGAUCAUAUUUCAGACUGCUGCUGACUCAUGCACUCAUGUAGGAGUGGCAAUUCAGUGGCCGAUACUCUUUCUUAAGGUUAAAUGUGAGAGUGAAUCAACGAAAACAAAACAAGAAAGUCUGAAUAAUUUUGAGCUUCUCACAACCACCCAGCAUGAAAAAGACAGAAUCCUUCUUCAUAAAAAAUGGAACCACCAAAGCAUCUGCAACUUCGUUUUGUCUCUUGGAACACUAUGGGAAUCAGGUACACAAANNNNNNNNNNNNNNNNNNNNNNNNNNNNNNNNNNNNNNNNNNNNNNNNNNNNNNNNNNNNNNNUUGGUGGGGACUUCAACACAGUACUGGACCCAACUUUUGAUAGGAGAUCAGCAACAGAUCAAACUUACCAAUCCUCACUUAGAAGUAUUCUAGAAGAUUUCACCGAUUCUCUGAGCCUCAAAGAUACAUUUGCAUUAAUGCAUCCAAUGAAAGAAGGCUUCACACGAUCUCAGAAUCAGAGUCACUCAAGGCUAGAUAUGUUUUUCAUGCCAACGAACACAGAACAUUAUAUCAUUAAAUGUGUGAAUCACCGAGCAAAAAUGAGAAAAUCCACAAACGGAAAGAAGAAAAUCUCUGAUCACGGUCCUCUAGUUUUAGAUAUCAAAGUUCCAGUACUGCUGGAAUAUAAAAUGCCAGAAGUUGCCUCAAUGUUAAUUGAAUUUAAAUAUCAUAGAGCUCCAGACAGAAAAGCAGGAAAAAUAAAUGGUGCAGAAAUACUGGAUGCCAUCAGAUCUUUACCUGACUCACAACAACAAACUCCUGAUAAACUAAGUGUCUAUGACUACAAGAAGAAUGACCUUCCAUUGACAGAAAUCUUAAAGAUAAAUUACAACAUGAUGUUGAAAUCUAAAUAUGUUCCAAAACAAUUCGUAAAACCAUUGCCUGUCUCAAACAAUAUGCAUUCUUUCAACAUUGACUAUUUGAUUUUUGCUCACAUUUUAACCAAACGCCUUGAGGUUUUUCUAAAAUCAUCUUUUAGGGGGAAAAAAAGGGUAACAAGUGGUGAUCGCAUUUGUGUAACAUUUGCAAAAUGCUCCCAAAAAAUCAAGAUGUCUUUCCUGAAGCGAUGUCUCUCAUCUCUUAAACAAAUUACCCCUACACCUCCAAAGGACUUCAGCAUUCUGGAGAAUCUCCUCCCCAAGGCCAGCUCCAAUAACGACUUCAGAAAACUGCGUCAAGGCUGUCCUCUGACCACAGCCAUUCUCACAAUGGCAUUGAAACAACUGAAAAGGGACAUUAUGGCAACAAGAAAAAGUUCUGGCAACACUAGUUUUUGCAAAUUCAGACAGUCUCUGCUAAUUUGUAUAAACAAUCAGCAAAUUCAUAGGAUUCUUGAAUUGUUGAAAAAUUUUCAGAAGCGUUCUGGGAUUAGAAUAAAUUUGAAACAUCACAGAGUUAGGCAUUAAUACAACAACAUGGUAUAACAUNGGGGGGGGGGGGGGGGGGGGGGGGGGGGGGGGGUGCUUUUUUAUGUCGGGCCCACACUCUGAUCAGGGCCCUUGGAUUAGUCUUAACCUUGCAGUAUUACUGUUGACCCAUAUUCCAUGUUUGCAAUGUACUGUAAGUGUUGAAAUAAUUCAAUUUAAUAAUACAAAUAAUGUUCUACUGAGACAUUCACAUAAUCUUUUUGUUGUUGUUGUAAAUAAAGCAAAAAUUAUUUAAGUUUUGUCA
ensembl:lncRNA